rnacentral:lncRNA from 1 species
CCCCGCAGUGGAGAGAAGGACCCCAUGGGCGUAAAACCCUCUGCAACGCUUGCGGAGUCCGGUUCAGAUCAGGCCGUCUUGUUCCAGAAUACCGUCCAGCAUCAAGCCCGACCUUCAUCCCAGCCGUGCAUUCCAAUUCGCACAGAAAGAUCAUUGAGAUGAGAAGGAAAGAAGAAGGCCAAUAGGACAUCAGAGAGAUCCGUGCCAUGAUUUCUGGAGCAUAGAGACUAAAUCAGGGAUUUGUAACUUCAGCAGACCAAACUCAUUUGGUCUAUGAGAAAAACAAAACUGUGAGGAUGCGUAGAAUUGGUUUAACUCUCUCUUGGAAGACUGAUGUUCUUUAAAAAAAACUAGGGUUUAGUGUUUUCUCUUUUUCUUUAUCUGAUGCAGAGAGUUUAGGAGUUUUGUUGAAAUUUAGGGUCUUAGUAUUGUUUGAUUAUGUGGUUAUGUUUGAAAGAAGAUGUUUGGUUGCACAUCAAUUUUAUCAGACUAGUGUAACGCCACCCCUUAUGCUCGGCUUCAUAUCUCCUCAGUCCUCACUAGAAAGAGGACUUGUUAACCAGCUUUGGUCCCUGGCAUAGGAUCAGAGUGAUGUAAUGCCACUUUUUUUUUCUUUCUUGUUUAGCUAUGUUGGAGAAGCAACCAUACUAUUAUAUUUUUCAGUGUCAUCUACUUCAUUAUCACACAACAAUGCUUUAUAGAAGAGAUCUGAGCUAUUCUAAGCUUAAACUUUAAAACCACAAGACAACUGAAAUUGUUGUAAUAAAAUUUUGGAUAUAUGAAGUAUUUUUCAUUGUUUUUUAGUUGUUGAUGAAACCUAGAAAUGGAAAAAAAUUGAAAACAGAAACUCACAAACAAAGUCAUCACCAAAUGUUAAAACAGUGACAAACACUCACCAAGUACUCCUACUAUAAAUACAUCUAUCUUCUUCAACAACUUGUCACCAUUAAUUAGUGGGCUUUAUUGUAGUUGUAAGCUAUUAUUAUUACUCCCCUAACGAGAUUCAUAUACACUCUAAUUGUGGAAAAAGCAACUUUGUUUUCUUAUUUUAUAUCCUCCUCCAAGUCUCUUUAAGAGUGUGAAACGACUCAUAUAUUAUAUAUAUGUCUAUAUAAGGUUUUUUUUUUUUUUUUGAAACUCUUCCACAAGAUUUCCUUGAACUAUAGAAAUAUAGUGUAUAACAUCUUUUUUUAAUCUUAAACCAUCUCUAAUAUUUUUUUCUAUUUUUAUUCUAAAAUAAAGUAAAAUUUAUCUAUAUUGCAUCAAUCUAAAAUGGAUUUACUCUAAAUAUAGGAUAAUCUUAUCAUUUCCUCGAUCUUAGAGUAAAAUAUAGGUUAAGUUGGGUAAGAUCUCCAUAAUAGAAUUUUAGAUGAAAUAUAGAGUGGAACUAAAAAUGCCUUAAAUCAAACAACACCUGAUUUAACCUAAUUUUACAAACUGUAAGCCUUAUUCAUUGUAAAAAUAAUUUUUUCUAUAUUUUUUUUUCGUUUUCAAUUACGUAAUUGGUAUGCUAAUGAAAUCCGUUUUGCUAGGAAUACUAAGUUCUUCUUUUUUUGGUCAACAAAUAUUAAGUUCAUUAAUCAAAAUUAACCUUAAUUUUAUUAAAGUCGUCUAAGCAAAUGAUAUUUGUUUUUUUUAUUUAUUACAUCCCUUGGACGAUUUUUUUUAGUAUUAAAAAUAUUAUUACCAUCGCUUGUUAACUUUUAUUGUAAAAGAGAAAACAGUAAAAUUAGUAGCAUCAAAAACAUUAGUAUCACCUUAGUCAUGUAAUCUCAACUCAUAUCAUUUAUAAAACCUAAGACAAAAUCUCAGAUUAUAUUUAAAUUCUAGUCAAUUUUUCCUUAAAUACUUAUUUAUUAUUUAAUUAAUAUAGUUUUCAAUAAUAAAAUACCAUUUCCCAACAACAAUAAAAAGGACUAAAUUAAAGUUUAUUUUUAAAAUAUCCAUUCAUUAAAGUACGGUAUUCUGUAUUUUUUGCUGUUACAAAAAGACAGUAAAACUACUAUUGUAAGUAAGAUAUUUUUAUUUAUUUAUCACUUAAACAGAUUGUGAUAAAACAUGAGUAGGUUCAAAUUUUCUAGAACCUAUAUCAUUGGUACAAAAUCUCAACGUUAUGAUAAGUUCUGAUAAUAAUAUAUUUUUUUCUAGUAACAAAAAGUAUAAUAUUAUACAAAAUACAUUUUUUUUUCUUAAAUGCAAUGCUUUAUACAAUCCUCUGAAUAGAAAUCCUUCCAAAAAUAAUCAUUGUCUCAGUUUCCUACAACUGUAAAAAAAUUACAAAAGUUAAUUCCUUUUAUGUAUCAAAAAAUAAUAAUUUUUUAAAACAUUCUCUAAAAGUGAAAUACAUCUUCUUAGAAAUAUAGAAAUUUGGAAACUUAUUUUUCCCAAAUAAAAGUUGAUUGGUAAAGUCAAAGAUGACACACUUGAAAUCCCUAAAUCCCCAAUUUGGGACAAAUUAGUUUCUCUCUCUCUCUCUCUCCCUCUCUUGCUCGUAAGCUUGGGGAAUGCGUUCUGUAUAGAGUCAGCUACUGUAUCGGAAGAAGGUUCGUGGCGUCUCUCUCUCUCUCACUCUCUUUUCUAUUCCAUUUUUCUCAAUUGGUCUCUGUUGUGUGUGAUUCUUUGUUUUUGGAGUAUGAGACUGUACAAAUGUGAAAGAAGAUGAUUCGUUCUUCGUUUGUGAUUCUUCUGUAUCUUGUGUUUUGUUGUUUUGUGACCUUAAAGUGUUAAAGCUGAGAUUGCCCUCGAAAUGGGUUUGAAUUCAAAUGAUGGGAUGAAUAUGAAAAAAAUGUAAUCUUUUUAUGUAAGAGGGAAUUAGAAAGUUGUGAUUUUUCUGUUCUGAGGAAAUUAAAAAUGAAAUCUUUUUUGCCAUUUCUGUUCUGAAUUUUGAUUUAGUGUUGCCCUCUAUUGAGUAUUGAGUCAGCAUACUGAGUGAGCUCUAAUGGAGAUUGAAUUUUAUUCAAUUGAAAUCGUUUCAGUAUCUCUGACUUGGCUUGGCUUGGCUUGGCUUACUUACACUUAUCUUGCUGUCUAUGGGUUUUUGGGCAGUGAGUGACAAAUGAAUGACGGUACAUGGUUACCUGAAGAGGACUUCAAGGGUUUAGCGGAUAAUUUCUUCGAUAAUCUCAUUGAGCAUAUAGAUGAUUUUCCCCUUGAAGACAUCGAAACCGCUGAUGAUGAGGAAGAUUGGAAAGCUGGGUUUCAAAACCUUGGGCCUCCACCAAUGGAUGUCCUAACGAGUAUGUCAUCUGAGUUUACUUGCAAGGGACAGCGUGUGCGAGUCCAGAAGACGGUACCCAUUGUGGUGAGUUCUUAGGCUUGUACACAUUUAAUUAAGCAUCUCACUUGAUAGAUUAUCUAUGCAAUCUCCAUAACUGUCAUUUGCAAUAUCUUUAGAUUUUGCCUUCCGACCAUAUUUUGUUAAAGAAAGCAUGUAAAUAGAAGUGACGCUUAUAUACAUCAUCUAUGUGUAUUACUUGACAGAUUAUUUACUCAUUCACAGCUCAUGUUUGCGAUGUAACACUGAUUGGGGCAUAGGCGUGUAGUAUAUAACAUAAUGAUUCUCUCUGGUUUCAGGCCUUAACAUGCUUGAUUUUGCAUGUAGGUUAAAAAAGUGUGUACUAUGCCACAUUUAACAGCAUACAAAUCUUUGAUUUAGGAAAAUUGUUACAUAAUGGUACUUUCAUAUCCAAGCUUGAUAUCAAUUUUACCGCAUAAGGUUAGAAAAUGCAAGAAAAAGGGAAUUCACUUUGCAUCAUUUAUGCUACUUGAUUUCACAUCCCACAUCUGCAUUAGGAAGAAAUUUUGGUACGCCGCAACAUGUCAAUUCUUUUGGAUUCAAGCUUCAGGUUGUUUUAAGUUACUCGAUUAUUCACACGAUCACAAAAACUAGGAAAUUGGUUAGCAUGUAUAUCACCCAUUCUAUUGAAAAUAAGCUUCCAUAGCUUUUUACUGAAUUUAUGUAUAUGAGAAAAGGACUGUGCAGUGUCUUUUUACUGAAAUUGAUCUUUAACUUUAGCUUUUCUUGUGCCAAAUUCCCAUGGAGAGGAAUAUUUGCCAACUCAGCAGCUAGUAUAUAUGUAGGAAUUGGUUAGAUAGGGAAGUGCGUUGAGUGUUUAUGUGGUUGUUUAGGGACUGUGGCAUGGAAGAUUUUAGGGUUCUCUUGCUCUCUUCAACAAAACACUAAGUUGCUUUGGUUAGUUUACUUGUGAGGAACAAAGGAGAAACUGUUUUCUAAAUUUAUUGGUUUGUAUGUCUAUGUAGCACAAGAAGGAUUAGGCAUAGUAUCAUUGUCAAUCUGAUAUAGAAUUAUGUUGAUCUACGUGGAACCAUGCUCAUGCUUGUUUUGUUUGUAUACUUUUCUUAUGGCACUCUUCUUUGUUCUGAAGAAAUCUUCUUUGUUUCUCACUUAACUUUAGGGAGAGAUACCAUAAUUGGCAGCAUAUCAGAAGAUCUUGUUUUGUAAGGAGAGAAACUGAUGAAGAUCAUGUCUUCUUUUUACCAUGAAUACUCUUAGGAUGCAUUGAAUAUGUUUCUGAAUUUAGAUUCGUUGACUUUGAUUGACUUCGAGCGUGCAGAAGCAGUCGAGUUCUUCGGAUGUCUCAUCUACUGUUGAUGGUUCCCCUCCUGAUGUCAAAGUCUCGAAACUAUUCCAGAGUUCAAGCCCAGUCUCAGUUGUCGAGAGCACCAAUGGUUCCCUCUUGUCCCAAAACCAAAACAGAAUUGAGAGACUGGCCUUUCUUAAGAAAGGCAUCAGAAGCAAGCGCAGACGCCCCACAACGCUUAAAUUCUUCCAGACACUUGGAGCAGAGAUGUCUCAGCAGUUUGUUCCGGAUGAAUCAGAAUCUGAAACUUACCUCUCUUCUGAGAAUUCUGCCAAGAAACGGAAGAAGAUCAAGAGUCGUCCUCCCCAGCCGAGCUCUUACAGUCCAGAACUAUUUAACUCAGAUGGGACAGUCAGGAAAUGCACUCAUUGCGAGACAACAAGGACCCCGCAGUGGAGAGAAGGACCCCAUGGGCGUAACACCCUCUGCAACGCUUGCGGAGUCCGGUUCAGAUCAGGCCGUCUUGUUCCGGAAUACCGUCCAGCAUCAAGCCCGACUUUCAUCCCAGCCGUGCAUUCAAAUUCGCACAGAAAGAUCAUAGAGAUGAGAAGGAAAGAUGAAGGCCAAUUUGAUACCAGAAAGAUCAGAGCAUAGGUUGAGACUAAAACAGGGCUUUAAAGCAAAAUUUGUAACUUCAGCAGAC